GACGAACGCUGGCGGCGUGCCUAAUACAUGCAAGUAGAACGCUGAAGGAGGAGCUUGCUUCUCUGGAUGAGUUGCGAACGGGUGAGUAACGCGUAGGUAACCUGCCUGGUAGCGGGGGAUAACUAUUGGAAACGAUAGCUAAUACCGCAUAAUAGCAGUUGCUGCAUGAUAACUGUUUGAAAGGUGCAAUUGCACCACUACCAGAUGGACCUGCGUUGUAUUAGCUAGUUGGUGGGGUAACGGCUCACCAAGGCGACGAUACAUAGCCGACCUGAGAGGGUGAUCGGCCACACUGGGACUGAGACACGGCCCAGACUCCUACGGGAGGCAGCAGUAGGGAAUCUUCGGCAAUAGACGGAAGUCUGACCGAGCAACGCCGCGUGAGUGAAGAAGGGUUUCGGAUCGUAAAGCUCGGUUGUAAGAGAAGAGCGAGUGUGAGAGUGGAAAGUUCACACUGUGACGGUAUCUUACCAGAAAGGGACGGCUAACUACGUG
rnacentral:rRNA from 1 species